GGGAGCGACUUGGCUUCGACAGGAGUAAGUCUGCUUGGAUGGCAUGUCGCUUUAGGCAAAGCGUAAAAAGCCUAAAUAAAAUUAAACGCAAACAACGUUAAAUUUGCUCCUGCUUACGCUAAAGCUGCGUAAGUUCAGUUGAGCCUGAAUUUUAAGUCAUACUAUCUAGCUUAAAAUUUGGUCAUCUUAAGAUAGUGUAGCUUAAAACUUGACGCAUUUUAAGUGAAAUUAAAGUCUUAGCUAUAUUUUUAAGUUUUGGAAGAUGAGCGAAAUAUAGUGAAAAAGUCAUCUUUACUAAGCAUGUAGAGGUCUUUGCGGGGUUAUUUUUGGAUAGGGGUUCAAUUCCCCUCGCUUCCACCA
rnacentral:tmRNA from 1 species